GGAGUUAGCCGGUGCUUCUUCUGUGAGUGAUGUCCUUCCUGCCGGCUAUUAACCCGCAGGCCUUCUUCCUCACUGAAAGUGCUUUACAACCCGAAGGCCUUCUUCACACACGCGGCAUGGCUGGAUCAGGGUUGCCCCCAUUGUCCAAUAUUCCCCACUGCUGCCUCCCGUAGGAGUCUGGGCCGUGUCUCAGUCCCAGUGUGGCUGAUCAUCCUCUCAGACCAGCUACGGAUCGUCGCCUUGGUGAGCCGUUACCUCACCAACCAGCUAAUCCGACAUAGGCUCAUCCGAUAGCGCGAGGCCCGAAGGUCCCCCGCUUUCCCCCGUAGGGCGUAUGCGGUAUUAGCCUGGGUUUCCCCAGGUUAUCCCCCACUACCGGGCAGAUUCCUAUGCAUUACUCACCCGUCCGCCGCUCGCCACCAGGGAGCAAGCUCCCCGUGCUGCCGCUCGACUUGCAUGUGUUAGGCCUGCCGCCAGCGUUCAAUCUGAGCCAGGAUCAAACUCUG
rnacentral:rRNA from 1 species